UACGUAGGUGGCGAGCGUUGUCCGGAUUUACUGGGCGUAAAGGGAGCGUAGGCGGACUUUUAAGUGAGAUGUGAAAUACCCGGGCUCAACCUGGGGGCUGCAUUUCAAACUGGAAGUCUAGAGUGCAGGAGAGGAGAGUGGAAUUCCUAGUGUAGCGGUGAAAUGCGUAGAGGUUAGGAAGAACACCAGUGGCGAAGGCGACUCUCUGGACUGUAACUGACGCUGAGGCUCGAAAGCGUGGGGAGCAAACAGG
rnacentral:rRNA from 1 species